CCCUGGUUGAUCCUGCCAGUAGUCAUAUGCUUGUCUCAAAGAUUAAGCCAUGCAUGUCUCAGUACAAACCGAAAUAAGGUGAAACCGCGAAAGGCUCAUUAUAUCAGUUAUGGUUCAUUAGAUCGUACCCACAUUUACUUGGAUAACUGUGGUAAUUCUAGAGCUAAUACAUGCAUACAGAACUCCGACCGGAGACGGAAGGAGCGCUUUUAUUAGAUCAAAACCAACGCGGGGAGGUAGGGUCCGUGGCGUCGUUUCGCGCGUCGUCGCGUCCUCGCCUCCUCAAACAUAGCUCGCACGACGAAUCUGAAUAACUUUAUGCCGAUCGCACGGUCACGCACCGGCGACGCAUCUUUCAAAUGUCUGCCUUAUCAACUUUCGAUGGUAGGUUAUGCGCCUACCAUGGUUGUAACGGGUAACGGGGAAUCAGGGUUCGAUUCCGGAGAGGGAGCCUGAGAAACGGCUACCACAUCCAAGGAAGGCAGCAGGCGCGCAAAUUACCCACUCCCGGCACGGGGAGGUAGUGACGAAAAAUAACGAUACGGGACUCAUCCGAGGCCCCGUGAUCGGAAUGAGCACACUUUAAAUCCUUUAACGAGGAUCAAUUGGAGGGCAAGUCUGGUGCCAGCAGCCGCGGUAAUUCCAGCUCCAAUAGCGUAUAUUAAAGUUGCUGCGGUUAAAAAGCUCGUAGUCGAAAUUGUGUCCUCGGCCGCCGGUUCGUCGCUCGCGACGCCAACUGGCGCGCACGUUGGACGUCCAGCCGGUACUACGAACUCGCCUACGGGGUGCUCUUAACCGAGUGUCCAGGCGGGGGCCGGCAACGUUACUUUGAACAAAUUAAAGUGCUUAAAGCAGGCUAAAUUGCGCUCGCAUACACGCGCAUGGAAUAAUCGAAUAGGACCUCCGUUCUAUUUUGUUGGGUUUUUGUGGAACGACAGACGGAGGUAAUGAUCAAUGGGUGCGGAUGGGGGCAUUCGUAUUGCGACGUUAGAGGUGAAAUUCUUGGAUCGUCGCAAGACGGACUUGAGCGAAAGCAUUUGCCAAAAACGCUUUCAUCGAUCAAGAACGAAAGUUAGAGGUUCGAAGGCGAUCAGAUACCGCCCUAGUUCUAACCAUAAACUAUGCCAGCUAGCGAUCCGCCGACGUUACUUCUAUGACUCGGCGGGCAGCUUCCGGGAAACCAAAGCUUUCGGGUUCCGGGGGAAGUAUGGUUGCAAAGCUGAAACUUAAAGGAAUUGACGGAAGGGCACCACCAGGAGUGGAGCCUGCGGCUUAAUUUGACUCAACACGGGAAACCUCACCAGGCCCGGACACCGGAAGGAUUGACAGAUUGAGAGCUCUUUCUUGAUUCGGUGGGUGGUGGUGCAUGGCCGUUCUUAGUUGGUGGAGCGAUUUGUCUGGUUAAUUCCGAUAACGAACGAGACUCUGUCCUGCUUAAUAGCCGAAAGAACGGACGAAGGCGCACGCGCGCGCGCGCGGCGACACGCAUCGCGCGUCGUCGUCGUCGUCGCGUCGUCGUCGUGUCGUCGUCGUCCGGUCACACACAGGCAUCUCGAAGGCCGGCGUUCCUCGCGUGCCUCCCGCGCGGUCAAACGUCCCUCGGCGCCCCGCACCCCGGUGCGAGGCGUGCGUCGCCGUCCGGUCGCUCAGCGGCCGCGUCGGAGCGACGGGGGNCGCGCGCGCGCGACGGUAGCACGAGCGCUCGGUUCUUACACUGUCUGCGGACAAACAUAUCUUCUUAGAGGGACAAGCGGCUCGAAGCCGCGCUAUAGAGAGCAAUAACAGGUCUGUGAUGCCCUUAGAUGUCCUGGGCCGCACGCGCGCUACACUGAAGGAAUCAGCGUGUGCGCAGAUAGCCCUCGGCCGAGAGGCCCGGGUAAUCCGCUGAAACUCCUUCGUGCUAGGGAUUGGGGCUUGAAAUUCUUCCCCAUGAACGAGGAAUUCCCAGUAAGCGCGAGUCAUAAGCUCGCGUUGAUUACGUCCCUGCCCUUUGUACACACCGCCCGUCGCUACUACCGAUCGAACGAUUUAGCGAGGUCUUCGGACCGACGCCCGUCCGCCCUAAAGGUCGACGGACGCGCCGGAAAGUCGACCGAACUUGAUCGUUUAGAGGAAGUAAAAGUCGUAACAAGGUUUCCGUAGGUGAACCUGCGGAAGGAUCAUUA
rnacentral:rRNA from 1 species